rnacentral:rRNA from 1 species
UGGCGGCAAGCCUAACACAUGCAAGUCGAACGGACAAUUAUUUAUAGCCUCUGGCUAUAGGAAAUUGUUAGUGGCAGACGGGUGAGUAAUGCGUAGGAAUCUACCUAGUAGUACGGAAUAGCCAUUAGAAAUGGUGGGUAAUACUGUAUAAUCCCCGAGGGGGAAAGAUUUAUCGCUAUUAGAUGAGCCUACGUUAGAUUAGCUAGUUGGUGAGGUAAUGGCUUACCAAGGCUAUGAUCUAUAGCUGGUCUGAGAGGACGAUCAGCCACACUGGAACUGAGAUACGGUCCAGACUCCUACGGGAGGCAGCAGUGGGGAAUAUUGGACAAUGGGCGAAAGCCUGAUCCAGCUAUGCCGCGUGAGUGAAGAAGGCCUUCGGGUUGUAAAACUCUUUCAAUAGGGAAGAUA